rnacentral:lncRNA from 1 species
AUGGGGAAGGGGAAGUUCAUCCAUCGCCUUCUGACAAGCAAGGGUGAAAAACAAUGCGGCAAGAAGAAAAGAGAGACGGAGCUGCAGAGACUGCAGAGAAGGAUCCGAGAGGUAAACAGCAAGAAGUCCUCUAUUCGACACGUCUGCCACCCUCCCCUUGGGGCCCCGCAGAGGCCCACACCAGUCCCCAUCCUUCCCUACCCCACACCACGCACAGUCUCCCCGGGCAUCCCUCUGUCCCCGGUCUCCCCUCCCGGGCCACCGCACUUCAAGCAGUGGCCUGUGUCACUAGCAGGCCUCUUUGGGCCACUCACCGUUUGCCCCGCUCUUCCCUGCGGCGCGGGUUGGGGCAGAGAAGACCUGCUCGCAGGGGGCAGCGUCAGUUCCCUAAGGGAAGGCGCCUCUCAGGUGAGAAGGGACUGGGCGGCCGACGACGCUGGGGACGUGGAAAGUCGCAGGCAGACGGGGUGGGAGGGGGGAUGCGGGGGGAGUGGGGGCGUCCCGGGAGCUGAUUGGUGGCCGCAGCGCUGGGGCGGAGCCUGGCCCGCAGCCGCUGGACCGCAGAGGCCUCGCUUUGUAUCAGUUUCUGCAGGAAGAUGCGGCCCCAAAUCCGGGGCAGAGACCCCAGCACCCGUCCAGAGAGUGCGGCUGGGCAAUUUGUUGAAAAAUAAAUCUGAGAGUAUUCAUGAACAAGGUCUCGCUGCUAGGCUGGAAGUCCUGGAAGAGACUGGAAGCUGACCGAGGUUCAUGCGUUCUGAAAGGCAAGAGACUCUAACUGACCCUUGGGUGUGAGGAAAGUCCCUUUUCUCAACCCACCGCACCCCUUGAGCUAACUGCCAGUUCUGCCCCUAACCCACUAGGGCCUCCAUCUGACCUGGAAGCCCCCCCGGGGGGGGGUGUCUAGCAAUGGCCAGGCGAUGCUCAUAGCAAUCUCUCUCUAUCUACAAGGUAGAUAGGUGGGGUCUGUCCUCACCCUCAGCUACUGCCAAAAAGAAACAAAAACCCACCACCCCUGUUUUAUUUGCUGUGGAUAGAAAACUACACAUCCCCAUUAGGUUGGAUACCCAUUGGAUUGCCGAGAAAGAUCCCUCACAAAUGGUGCAGGCUCCCAAUAGGACUGAUGUACUUUCAAUGGCAAGUGCAGAGGGGCUGAAGAAGUCAAACGAAAAGCCAGGUAUGUAACCACUGUGAUUCUGUGAGGUUUUGACUUUAGACACUGAUGUAAAUCCUAUUUAUGGCCUGUUUAUUUUGUUCACCUAAAAUAUCAUUUUUUUGUCACUACAUUUUCCAACUGGCCAUUGCUGUUCUGAAGGAAUGCUACUGAUAUUUUGUUUUAAAGAACCUAUUAAGUGAGAUGUUAGCUAUUGAUUUAAAGUGGAGAGAUAAUACUUAAUCAUGUUAAAGAAAUAUACUUUUAUUUCUAGUGUGCCAAAAUAUAUAAAAUAUGGAGGGAACAAAGCAUCUUACUAAAUUUCUUCCUUUUUUUUUUUUUUUUAUUGAUCCAGG